AUAUCCAGCGAAGAAGUCAAGUGAACUAAUAUUUCAGAUAACAAAUUUGGUUUUAUGCUGGGAAGAUCAACCACAGAAGCUAUUUAUUUGCUUAGGAGGCUAAAGGGAAGAUUUAGAGAAUGUAAGAAGCAUCU